UCUUGAAAUCAGCCUGCAGUUCUCUUCCCCUCUGGCUCCCUGCCUCCUCCCUCCCACGAAGCUUCCUCCCUCUCAGGAGAACAUAAUGCACGUAGCAAGGGCGUGACGACGGUGCCGGGUUCCGGCAGGCUCAAUGCCGGAGGGAAAAAUGGAUCUGAGAUUCUGUAUGGAGGCUUGAUGUUGCGAUUGGGCAUGGGGAGGACGGCCAGCAAUGGACCGGUGGCACUGGAUGAGCGAGCGGAAAGCGUGAGACCACCUAGGUUUUGAAGUUGUGCGGCCCUCCUUCGCCUUUCCCAUGACACCAUCUUGCUGCCACUAUAGUAGUAGAUGUGAGGUAAGAAAUUGCUUGCACCACCGUGCCAGUCAAGUUCUUUUUACAUAUCUCUCUCUAUGAUUUCCCUAUUUUCUUCUAUUUUGUACUUGGUAAUUUGUACCUGACGUACAAAUACUUUCUUUUGUUUAAGAAUGCAAAACAACAAUGAUAUAAGCAAGACUUGGUUACUUUUUGUUUGAUAUGCACUUUUUCUAAUUUUCUUCUCAAACUAAUUUCAAAGUAGUACUAGGCAGUGAUUGAUGCCAAAGAAAACAUGUUCUCAUGCACUGUGAAUUAGAAUUUGAGUUAUGGACCUAUGAUGCUUUAGGUUUGGAUCUGAUCAAACCAUGUUAUGUAUCAUUUUUUCACCCCAGGUUUCAGCAAAUUAUGGGCCAAUACUUUUCUGGCCCAUAGGGGGUUAUUGUAGGAUUCAUGAGUUAUUUAGAGUUCUACAUACAAAUAGAAUGCAUGAUCACCGGUAGGAAAGAAAGUAAUUAGUGACCAUUAUAUAUGAUGCUUGGACAAAAGCAGCUUUGUUUUGUUUGGGAGCAUAAUUUGACAUGUAGAAAGAAAUUCAUUGUUGGUGUGUCGCAGCGGUUACAAUUUGUUGGGGGGAUCCCAUUACAACAAUUAUAUCCUGUGAGCUUUAGGUCCAAUGAUCCUUCAUACUUUUCUAUUUAACCAAUUUAAAUUUGUUCGGCUAAGUGAUCCCAAUGUUCUCCGGUGUCACCAAGAGAGAGACCAUGAAACUUUCUUAAAUACUAGUUUCCAAUGUGGCUCUGAUGGAUCUUCAGGUAACUGAUCAGUGAUCACUAAGUUUCCUUGUCAUGCAUAGUAUAGCUGAUAUUCAAACUACAUUGCAGGAAGGAAUAGGAGUCUUUUCCACAAGCUCCUCAUUUAAACUAUUGGGGAUUUACUUGAUUGUGUACAACUGUUGGCGAGGAUUGCCACUUCAUAUUUAGUUGCUCUCAGGGUCUUUAUAUCAGCUUGAAGGAGAAGUUUCAGUUCAUGGAUUUUUGUCAUCUCCAGGAUGCCCUGGCCUAUUCAGGUUCACAUGGUGUUUUGUUUGGGUGUUUAGGGGAAAUAUCCUUGAGGUGCUGAUGCAUUCGCCAGAGAGGAGCACUCAAGUUAUAGUUCUUACUAAUGGUGAACGGAUUUAGGGUCUUGGGGAUCCAGUGGUGCCUCGAGCUCACGUUGCAACUACGAUCUCAUCCUUAACGGCCAGCCACUGCCUUCCCUGAUGAUCCCUGACUUUCCAUGCCAGUCGAUUAAAGAUACAUGUUCAGUAUUUCUGCAGUAUCAAUAUGUUAAAAAAAUAUGUAAUAGUGAUUAUUUCAACUCUACUUUGAAGAAAUGUAUACGUAAACUAGAUAGAAGUUGUAUUGAAAGCAGUAUAACAACUUUUACUUUUCCAAAUAGAAUGUUUUUGUUAUAUUAAUCUUUUGUUCUCUCU